GGAGCCCCCAGGGUGUGGAGGGGGUGGGCUGCUGCAUGUGCAGAGGGCUGACGGCUAAGGGCUCCGUGGCCUCCUGAAAGAGGGAUCAGUGCCAGGCCUCGGCUCUCCCUGCUGGCUGAGCAGAUGCGGAGGCGCGGAUGAUCCCCAAAGCACAGGUUACACCGGAAGGACCAAGGUGAGGAGCCUGAGGCCAGCGGAGAGGCCGGGACGCCUGCCUGUGGAGAGCUCCAGAGCCAGCUCCAAGGUCGGAGCUCACCCUGCCCUCCCGGCUUCUCUCUGCUGCCUCUGCAUUUCUCCUGGAGACACGGGCUCCAUCCCCGGUCUGGGAAGACUGCACAUGCCUCGGAGCAACCAAGCCCCCGCAUGGCAACUCCUGAAGCCUGCACUCCUGGAGGCUGUGCUCUGGAACGAGAAGACGCUGUGGUGAGAGGCGCCCGCCCUGCAACUAGAGAGGAGCCCGAGAAGCAACCAAGACCCUGCACAGCCAAAAAUAGGUGUGGUGUGUGGUCCUCCGGGGAUCACCAGACCCCCACCUUGCCUGGGAAAGGAUUCACAUUCUGAGGACAGACGUCCCCCUGGUCCAGCCCCCAACAGAGGAGACCUAGAAUCUAUUCAAGCAGCAUCAGGCAGGUUCCCUUCUCCCAGCGCGCAGAG
rnacentral:lncRNA from 1 species